UCCUCGGUGGCGCAAUUGGCUAGCGCGUCUGACUGUUAAUCAGGAGGUUGUAAGUUCGAGCCUUACCCGGGGAG
rfam:Fungal sp. No.14919 DNA, contig: Contig0082.